ACGGAAGGCAGCAGUGGGGAAUAUUGCACAAUGGGCGCAAGCCUGAUGCAGCGACGCCGCGUGAAGGAUGAAGGUCUUCGGAUCGUAAACUUCUGUCCUUGGGGAAGAUAAUGACGGUACCCUUGGAGGAAGCCCCGGCUAACUACGUGCCAGCAGCCGCGGUAAUACGUAGGGGGCAAGCGUUAUCCGGAAUUAUUGGGCGUAAAGAGUGCGUAGGUGGUUACCUAAGCAAGGGGUUUAAGGCAAUGGCUCAACCAUUGUUCGCCCCUUGAACUGGGCUACUUGAGUGCAGGAGAGGAAAGCGGAAUUCCUAGUGUAGCGGUGAAAUGCGUAGAUAUUAGGAGGAACACCAGUGGCGAAGGCGGCUUUCUGAACUGUUACUGACACUGAGGCACGAAAGUGUGGGGAGCAAACAGGAUUAGAUACCCUGGUA
rnacentral:rRNA from 1 species